rnacentral:rRNA from 1 species
CUACGGGACGCUGCAGUGGGGAAUAUUGCGCAAUGGGCGAAAGCCUGACGCAGCAACGCCGCGUGGGUGAUGAAGGCCUUCGGGUCGUAAAGCCCUGUCGGGAGGGAAGAACACCUUCGGGUCUGACGGUACCUCCCAAGGAAGCACAGGCUAACUCCGUGCCAGCAGCCGCGGUAAUACGGAGUGUGCAAGCGUUGUUCGGAAUUACUGGGCGUAAAGCGCGCGUAGGCGGCUUGGUAAGUCAGAUGUGAAAUCCCUCGGCUCAACCGAGGAGCUGCAUUUGAAACUGCCAGGCUUGAGUACGGGAGGGGGAAGCGGAAUUCCCAGUGUAGAGGUGAAAUUCGUAGAUAUUGGGAGGAACACCAGCGGCGAAGGCGGCUUCCUGGACCGAUACUGACGCUGAGGCGCGAAAGCGUGGGGAGCAAACAGGAUUAGAUACCCCCGUAGUC